rnacentral:lncRNA from 1 species
CAAAGACAUGUACCAAAUGAAUGUUAUUUAGUAUUGUCUGGAAAAUUAGAAGUCCUAUUAGGUGAUGCAGAUUUGAAAGCCCAAACUUUCACCUCUGAAAUGUUGUAUGAAGCUGAAGAAGGAGAUUUCAUAGGGGAUUUUGAUUCUACUCUUGCCGAUGCACUCUUCAAACAAUAUCAUGGAACAUGCAACUUCCUUAGGACAGGAACUACUGUUGUCCCAGACAGCUUGAACUCUUACUUCUUAGUAGUUGUAAA